GUUGCUGUGAAGUCCUCCAUCCCAGCCACAGCUCAGAAGGCAUAGCCCCUCCCUGUAGGAGCUCCUUGUAGCAAGGUUCUCUUGUUUCUCAGCUAACUAGAAACCUAUGGAUUCCACUUGUUGCCAGGCCUCCCACAGCCUGAUGGAAAUGAAGAACAAACUCAGCACCACAUCAGGAGCCACUUCCUUCUGAAGAACUGCCUAGCCAGAAAUGCAUAGUUUGAAGUCAGCAGUAAGAAUUUUGUAUUGUCUCAGAGUGCUUUAUCUCAUAGGAGAUAAUCCAAACAUUCUAAAAUCCAAGAUGUAUCAAGGGGGUAGAUAAGAAGGCAUCAUCAGAAAACUGGGGACCCACACAAGUGCUGUUGGAUACAACAUACCUCCUGAACCCCUGCCCUAGACUGAUUCUUUGGUCAGUGAAUGAUGGCACUUUGCUCAAGACACUGGCCCUUGAUGAACCUUUUUAAAUUAAGAGGCGUCAGAGUGAGUGACAUAUAUUAUCCUGGCCACAGGAAAUGCAGAGGUGUCUUUGACUGUGAGUCCCUCCAUAUCAGCAAGACAGAGACAGUAGAGACACAGCAAGCACUACUUAUGAUAAACUGCAAAGCCAUCAAGAAAAGAGGAUAGCACUCAAGAGCUAUUAUCAGAUUUCUGGGCAGUUGAUCACUCAUCAAGAACUGGAACCAUGAAAUGAUGCUGUUGUUAAGUUUUCAUUCUCUAAUACUGAUUGUAUACAAGAUAGAAGCAUGUUGUAUCCUAAGAGGCUCCAACAAGCAGCUGACUCAGACAGACGCAGACACCCACAGCCAAACAGUGGAUAGAGCUUGGGGACUCUUAUGGAAGAAUAAUAGGAAGGAUUGUGGGUCCCCAAAGGGGAAAGGAACUCCACAGGAAGAACAACGGAAUCAAUUAACCUGGACCCUUGGGCCUCUCAAAGUCCAUACUACCAACCAGGGAACAUAGAUGGGAUGGACAUAGACCUCCUUGCAUGCUUCGGCUGAUCAGCAAGACAUAUCGCUUGGGCGGUGCUAAAGAAAACAGGAUGAGUUACCAAGGGAUAUACAACCAAUUAUGUAUCCUUUCUCAUGCAAUUUGAUGACAGAUUUUGUUUAGAGAGAAGCUUACUUUCCCCCUGAGGCUCAGUACCAUAAAUACAGAAGCCACAUUUUCUGAAAUUAUUCAUAAAAUAUUUUACC